rnacentral:rRNA from 2 species
UCGUAACAAGGUUUCCGUAGGUGAACCUGCGGAAGGAUCAUUGUCGUGACCCUGACCAAAACAGACCGCGCACGCGUCAUCCAAUCCGUCGGUGACGGCAUCGUCCGUCGCUCGGCCAAUGCCUCGACCACCUCCCCUCCUCGGAGUGGGUGGGGGCUCGGGGUAAAAGAACCCACGGCGCCGAAGGCGUCAAGGAACACUGUGCCUAACCCGGGGGCAUGGCUAGCUUGCUAGCCAUCCCUCGUGUUGCAAAGCUAUUUAAUCCACACGACUCUCGGCAACGGAUAUCUCGGCUCUCGCAUCGAUGAAGAACGUAGCGAAAUGCGAUACCUGGUGUGAAUUGCAGAAUCCCGCGAACCAUCGAGUCUUUGAACGCAAGUUGCGCCCGAGGCCACUCGGCCGAGGGCACGCCUGCCUGGGCGUCACGCCAAAACACGCUCCCAACACCCCUCAUCGGGAAUCGGGAUGCGGCAUCUGGUCCCUCGUCUCGCAAGGGGCGGUGGACCGAAGAUCGGGCUGCCGGCGUACCGCGCCGGACACAGCGCAUGGUGGGCGUCCUCGCUUUAUCAACGCAGUGCAUCCGACGCGCAGCCGGCAUGAUGGCCUCAAAACGACCCAGCAAACGAAGCGCACGUCGCUUCGACCGCGACCCCAGGUCAGGCGGGACUACCCGCUGAGUUUAAGCAUAUCAAUAAGCGGAGGA